GUUUACCCACCUGUCCCAGCUGAGAAGAGGAAGCCCAUCCGGGUGCUGUCUCUCUUUGAUGGAAUCGCUACAGGGCUCCUGGUGCUGAAGGACUUGGGCAUUCAGGUGGACCGCUACAUUGCCUCGGAGGUGUGUGAGGACUCCAUCACGGUGGGCAUGGUGCGGCACCAGGGGAAGAUCAUGUACGUCGGGGACGUCCGCAGCGUCACACAGAAGCAUAUCCAGGAGUGGGGCCCAUUCGAUCUGGUGAUUGGGGGCAGUCCCUGCAAUGACCUCUCCAUCGUCAACCCUGCUCGCAAGGGCCUCUACGUCCAACCCUGUGAUGAUUGAUGCCAAAGAAGUGUCAGCUGCACACAGGGCCCGCUACUUCUGGGGUAACCUUCCCGGUAUGAACAGGCCGUUGGCAUCCACUGUGAAUGAUAAGCUGGAGCUGCAGGAGUGUCUGGAGCAUGGCAGGAUAGCCAAGGUCAGC
rnacentral:sRNA from 1 species